rnacentral:tRNA from 1 species
AGGUGUUUUCCUUUAAUUUUCAUAGUGUUACACUCGAUUCACGGUCACCUUGACAUGGUGGGGGUCGUUGGUUCGAGUCCAAUCGCGCCUACCA